AUUGAACGCUGGCGGCAGGCCUAACACAUGCAAGUCGAGCGGAGCGGCGGACGGGUGAGUAAUGCCUAUGAAUCUGCCUGGUAGUGGGGGAUACCGCCCGGAAACGGGCGCUAAUACCGCAUACUAUCAGAUGAGCCUCGGCUGGUUUAGCUAGUUGGUGGGGUAAAGGCCUACCAAGGCGACGAUCCGUAACUGGUAUGAGAGGAUGAUCAGGCACAAUGGAAAUGAGACACGGUCCAGACUCAUACGGGAGGCAGCAGUGGGGAAUAUUGGACAAUGGGCGAAAGCCUGGUCCAGCCAUGCCGCGUGUGUGAAGAAGGUCGUCGGAUUGUAAAGCACUUUAAGUUGGGAGGCGUUACCAACAGAAUAAGCACCGGCUAACUUCGUGCCAGCAGCCGCGGUAAUAC
rnacentral:rRNA from 1 species